rnacentral:rRNA from 1 species
UACAGAGGUCUCAAGCGUUGUUCGGAUUCAUUGGGCGUAAAGGGUGUGUAGGUGGCGCCGUAAGUCGGGUGUGAAAUCUCGGGGCUUAACUCCGAAACUGCAUUCGAUACUGCGGUGCUUGAGGACUGGAGAGGAGACUGGAAUUCAUGGUGUAGCAGUGAAAUGCGUAGAGAUCAAUGAGGAACACCGAUGGCGAAGGCAGGUCUCUGGGCCACUACUGACGCUGGAGAAGCGAAAGCAUGGGGAGCGAACAGG